rnacentral:rRNA from 1 species
UAUAGAGGUCUCAAGCGUUGUUCGGAUUCAUUGGGCGUAAAGGGUGCGUAGGCGGCGCGGUAAGUCGGGUGUGAAAUCUCGGGGCUUAACUCCGAAACUGCAUUCGAUACUGCCGUGCUUGAGGACUGGAGAGGAGACUGGAAUUUACGGUGUAGCGGUGAAAUGCGUAGAUAUCGUAAGGAAGACCAGUGGCGAAGGCGGGUCUCUGGACAGUUCCUGACGCUGAGGCACGAAGGUCAGGGGAGCAAACGGG